UACCAUGCAAGUCGAGCGGAAACGAUCCUAGCUUGCUAGGAGGCGUCGAGCGGCGGACGGGUGAGUAAUGCAUAGGAAUCUGCCCGGUAGUGGGGGAUAACCUGGGGAAACUCAGGCUAAUACCGCAUACGUCCUACGGGAGAAAGCAGGGGAUCU
rnacentral:rRNA from 1 species